ACACGUAGGGGCCUGACGUUGUUCGGAAUUAUUGGGCGUAAAGGGCGCGCAGGCGGCCGUCCAAGUCCGGUGUUAAAUGGUCGGGCUCAACCCGAUCAUGCGCUGGAAACUGGGCGGCUUGAGUCCCGUAGGGGAUGCCGGAAUUCCAGGUGUAGGGGUGAAAUCUGUAGAUAUCUGGAAGAACACCGAUGGCGAAGGCAGGCAUCUGGCCGGAGACUGACGCUGAGGCGCGAAGGCGCGGGGAGCGAACAGGUUUAGAUACCCUGGUAGUCCGCGCAGUAAACGAUGCGCACCAGGUGUCGGGCGGCAGCGCCCGGUACCGGAGCUAACGCGAUGAGUGCGCCGCCUGGGGAGUAUGCCCGCAAGGGUGAAACUCAAAUGAAUUGACGGGG
rnacentral:rRNA from 1 species